rnacentral:lncRNA from 1 species
GGCUACCGAAAAAAUCAAGCAAAACGCUCUCCGAUCCUAACCCACUUCUCUUCGGCCUAUUCUUUCUUUGACCCCGCGCUUUAAUGUUUUACAAGUCAUUCCGUCGUGGCUUAUGUAUAUAUGACUAUAAAUAUUAUAUACGGUGGUAUUCGUGACCUAUGGCUUAAUAUUCGGCCGGAUUGGCAAAGAUUGAGUCGCUAGCUAUCUUGGGUUUCCGGAGAGUGCCUCUACCCGAGCAGAUAACGAGCCAUGAAACACAUCUCAACGUUAAACUUAACUUUAUUCUCCCUCUUCAACCUUGUUUCACAGUAUCAUUUGACCGAAUUGUGCAAUCCCGAAUGGCCAAAUGAUCAUUCCUCAAACCUGUAAUGGCCGGAAACACUAACUUGAUACAAAACAACCAGCGGCUUGUGCCGCCCUGACGUGCAAAGGAAAGCCGCAGAGAUCACGCCAGGGCUAACCAAUCUCAAAAAUUAUUACCGAAUUCAGUAAUAUCUGAAAAAACCAUCACUGGUCUCUGAAGAAUAAUCCGAGUCGGCACGGCCUGCUUGUUUUCACUUUUGACGCUCAAAUGAUGAGCGACACGGGAGCGAACUAUCUGGUGAAAAUAUGGGGUUUGGGCUUGAGCGAUGGAAACUCUAGGCUUGGAGGUAUGUGCUGUGGUGUACAGAGUAGAUUGAAGAGCGCACAUCAAAACGCUGGAUGCAGUUUAAUUAAUGUCAGAAAUGCAACUUUCUAGGCAUUGGGUAAGCCAUAGCCACAUACCCAUGAUGUAACUACAUAGCACCAAGAUUGUACUUAUAGUAGUUACUCGGCAAAAAGAGCCGAGGCCUUGAUUUACGUCCAAUGCUGGAAAGAAUGAAUACUCCGUACUCCUCCCGAUAAGCUACAAAUCAGACCAAGCCCUUUACGUUGUAAAAGUAGGAACGAAGAUCAUGACACAAAUCCGCGGAAGCGGUGACAAACUUACUGUAGUAUACAUAUCUACUAAGGGCGUGCAGCAUCCAUGCGUGAUCACUGAUUAACCCUCGGAGCAAAGACUCUAAAGAGUAGGUGGGAGGAGCAAAAAUACUAAAUGGAGUCAAGAGCAACGGAAGCGAGGAGAAAAUCCCCGUGUGGGCGCCGCCACAACCGAUGCAUGUCAUAUUUUGAUAUUUGAUGUCGCAACUGACAUUCAUCCGAGCUUGCCGUUGAAAGCAGGGAUUUAGUAUUUCCUGUCAAGUAGAAAUCAAGAAUCCCUGAGAUGGAGGUGUUGGGAUAGAUUGCUGAGUUGUCAUGGUUGUGCGUGGACGUGUAGGUACAACCAAAGACUUUCCGUCGGCUGCCUGAUAGCAAUUUUGUAAAUCUGUGAUCUGCCCCGCCGUUUCUAUAA